AAAGAAACAAGGACAGUGGUGGAAUGCAAACAAGGCACAAACUGGCCCCACCUGGGUUUAUGUUGCUGCUGGUUGAGUAGGUGCUUGGGAGGGGACUCUGGGAAGGUUUUUCAGUGAGGAGUGGGUGGGGGCAUGAAGAUAGCAGGAAGAAGAGACUGAGAACUUUGUCAUCAGCAGAGCCUGGACCUGUUGCAAUAAGCUUCGGGUGGGUGCUGUGGGUCAGGUGGUCAGGAAGUAUUGGAGUGUCUAGAGCCUCCUGGGUGAUCAUCUCCUUACUUGGAAUUUCUGCAGAGGAAGAGACAGCAGGAAGGAAGCUUUUCUUUCAGGUUUUUACUGCUAUUGGGAUGCAAAUCUGCCUUAAAUAUCCAACACCAUCAGCUGUUAGUAUGAAUAUACCUUCAUGGGAAUGAUGAUUGGUAAGGAAGCUUUGCCAGAGGACUCAUGGAGCCACACAUAGGAGCACUACAUGCCCACUCUGGAGACAGGCAUGGGAAUGAGAAGAGUUGAGAUGGGGAGAGGCAAGCAAGUUGGGGUUGGAGAUACUCACGAAGCCAGAACCAGGUGACAGGAAUAAAGAGUCUCACUCUGUCACCCAGACUGGAAUUCAGUGGCGCAAACUCAGCUCACUGCAGCCCCCACCUCCCAGGUUCAAGCCAUCCUCAUGCCUCAGCCUGCCGAGUAGCUGGAACUAUCGACUUGCACCACUACUUUUUUAUAAUCUUUGCAAUGAUCAUCUUACACGACUAAAGAGUCCAUCUAGAAGUUGCACUAUAACUGAAUCAGAUAUUCCUUUAUGGUUGACCACUUAGGCUCUCUAAAACAUUUUUAUAAUUAUAAUUAACUAUACAAAUUUUUGACUUUAUGCAAUGAAAAAUUUCAAAUAGAGAAAAUAUAAUGAUGAACCCCCCAAAACUCAUUACCUACAUUUAACAAUAAUUAACAUUUACAAUUUUUGUACUUAUUUUUGCCAAGGUGUUUAAAAAUAUAUUACAGAUAUCAUAAUAUGUCACCACCAAGUACUCCAGUUUGCAUCGCUAAACAAUAAGGGCAUUUAAUGCCAACAUCAAUAUCAGUUCUAACAAAGUUAGUAUUUAUUCCUUAAUAUCACCUAAUACCUGGCCAAUAUUAGAAGUUGCCAGUAGUCUCUGCAAAGGUCUUCUUACCAUUUUUGCUCAAAUCUAAACUCAAACAAGGUGCAUGAAUUGCAUUUUGCUGUCAUGGCUCUUGAGUCUCUUUUAACUUAGAAUCCUCCCUCUGUCCCCAGUCUUUUUCCCUUCCACUGACUUGAGGAAACUGGGUCAGUUUUCAAUUAGACUUUUCUGCCUUCUGGAUUGCUUCCUGGAGACAUUAUUAAACAUAUUCUCCUAAUCCUUGCAUUUAAAUUGACACUUGAAUCUUAAUCACGUUUUUGGUAAAAACACUUUCUAGGGGACUGUAUUUCAUAUUACAUCAGAAUGCACCUAAUAUAAAAUUGUUCUACCACAUAUGACGAUAAGAUUACUUCAUGAGGAACUUUAAAUAGUGACACCCUCAUCUGUCAAUUUUAAAGUUGUAUUUAUUUUCCCGUUUAGGUUAGCAAAUAAUCAAUUGAGGUAAUGUUUUAGCAUCCUGCAAAUAUCCAGCUACCAUUCAGUCUUUUCCCUAAUGAUUUUAGCAUCAUUACUGGAUAUCGCCUAAAUCAAAUAUCUCUUAAGGGGUUUUAAAAUGUCAGUUUCUAUUUCUAUCACUUCUAUAUUUAUUUGAUGAAAUUUUAUUGAGAUUCUUUUUCUUUCUAUAUUUAUUAAUGAGAUUAUUUUCAAAAGAAGAGCUUUCUUUUAUUAACUAGGACUCUUUAGUGACCCUGAAUUUUAGGUAAUAUUGCUGUGUAGGAAACCAUCUCAGACUUAAUGGUGUAAAAUAAGAAUUUUAUUAUGUUUGUGGAUUCUGUGGGUGAGGAAUUCAGACAGGGCACAAUGGGGAUCUGUUCUGUGAUGUCUGGGCCUCAGCUGGAAAGACUCAAGGGCUACAGUGACUCAACAACUGGACACUUGAAUGAUCUGGAGGCUCCUUCAUGCAUAGUCUCUCUUGGGCCAGAAUGAUUUGAACACUGAGCUCAGCUGAGACUGCUAACCAGAGCUCCUACAUGUGGACUAUCCAUGUGGCUUGGGCUUCCUCACAGCAUGGUGGCCUCAGGGGAAUUAGACUUUUUUAUGUAGAAGCUCAGAACUCCAGAAUGAAUAUCCCAGCAGACAUGACAGAAGCUGAAUUGCCUUUUAUGACCUAUCCUCAAAAAUCACAAAGAAUUACUCUCAUCGUAGUCUGUUUGUUACUAGUCAAAACCAUCACCAGACUGCCCAGAUUCAAGAGGAGGUGACAUAGAGCCCACUUCUUGAUGGUAGGGUAGAACAGUCACACUGUAAAAGAGCAUGUGGGAUGGGGAACACUGUGGCCAUCUCUGGAAGGUGCAGUCUGCCACAUCCUGAAAGGCAGUUCCUACAUAACAGGAAAAUAAAUGUCUGAUUCUCUCCAUUUAACUGUCAAUAUUCAGAGUAAGAAACCAGUGAAGUAGAUACCCUGAAUUGUAACAGAUUAGGGUGUUUCUCUAGAGGUGAGUGUGAGGCUUUCUCACUUUUGACUAACAUUAGUAACAUAUUGAUUUUUAAAAAAUAUUUAAUGUGCUUCAAUUUAUUCUUUUUAAUACACAGAUUGUCCCAACUUUGGCUCAUGGGAUCCAUUGCAAGCUGGCUUCCAUGUCUUUUUGAUAAUAUGUCAUUAACCUUUGAUAGCUUCAUUGCUUUCUGGCAUAACAACAUGAGUCAGGCUCAUGUAUAUUCCCUGCUCUAUUCCUGGAAUUAGCCAUUGCACCUAGGAAGCCCUUCCUAUUGAUAUUUAGAAUAUUGAUAUUUAGAAUGAUAUUUAGAAACCAAAUCUGAAUACUAAGGAUGUUCAUUAGUACAUGGGAGGCUUGGCUUCCAUAGCUUUUCCAUGGACAGAGCAAAGACAGAGCUUUAAGUUCUUUCUUAAAAAAUGUAUGUGUAUAUAUAUAUGUGUGUGUGUGUGUGUGUCUUUAUAAUUCUAAAUGUAUACUAAUAUUUAUAAUUCAAAUUUAAAUAUUAUAGGAUUUUACCUAAUACAUUUGAUUUUAUAUUUUUAUGUCUCUUCUUACAUUAAUUACAAUAUAAAUCUUACACUAUAAAACUAUCAUAGACACAAAUAGUUUCAAAAUGACAAUGCUAAUAUUACUUCUAACAAUGCCAAACAAUACAAAUUAAUAUUCCUUUGAAGUUUUUUAUUGUUGUUAUCCUUGUUUUUUUGGUCUGUCCUUAAGAUAAAUCACACUAAGCUUGUAUAGUAGAUGAACUAUGUUCAAAGCAUACUCAGAUAAAUUUUGCUUUCUCAUGAUGCCUUUAUUCCAUUCUUCUCAUCCUUUAGGUAACCAUUUUUAUUAGAUCUUGAUUUAGGCUUCCAGCGUUUCUUUUUACAAAUAUAAGAAAUUAUUAUGUACCUGUAUAAACAUGUGGAUUUAUACUCAUACUUUCACCUCUCCUUACACAAAAAUAGCAUAUUAUUUUUGUUUUUCUGCAUCUUGCUUUUUUCACCUAAGAAUAUAUCCUAAAAAGCACUCCACAAAAUUUUUUCUCAUCUUUUUUGUGGUUACGUAUACUCCAUUGUGUGGGUUUAUGAUAGUUUAAUCAGUUCCCUGAUGAUAGAGAGUCAGUCGAUUCCAAUCCUUUUAUUACACAUGUUAUUUUAUAUUAGGGCUACUGUAACUUUGGAAUAGAUUAUCAGAGCUAGGAAUGCCAGAUCCAAGGUCCACGCAUGUGUAAUUUUGCUUGACGUUGUCAAUUCUCUCCAUGAGGUCUCUGCUACUUCCUACAUUCCUAGGAGCAAUGAAGGAGAUGCUGAUUUCUCAUAGUUUUGUCAUCAAAACCUGUUAUCAAACUUUGGGGCUUUUACCAAUCUGAUAGGUGAGAAAUGGUAUCUUGGUGUACUAUCAGUUUGCAUUUCUCUAAUUAUAAGUGUGCUUGAGCAACUUUAAUAUGUUUAAAGACCAUUUUAUUUCAUUUUAUGAGUCCCGUCUGUUCAUGUCUUUGGCUAAUUCUUCUGUUAGGUUGUGGGUCCUUUUUUCAAUAUCUGGGAAUGCUGUUUUGCCAUGCAUUUUUUUCCUUUUGAUGUUGUUGAAUUUAUCAAUAUUUCCUUUUAUUAAAGAUGUAGAUUUUUCUCAUUCUCAGGUUAUGGGAAUUUGUGCAUAUUUCUCCACUAUUUAUACUGAUAAGGAGUUUGACUAUCCCCC
rnacentral:lncRNA from 1 species